UACGGAGGGAGCUAGCGUUGUUCGGAAUUACUGGGCGUAAAGCGCACGUAGGCGGUUACUCAAGUCAGGGCGAAAGCCCGGGGCUCAACCCCGGAACUGCCUUUGAAACUAGGUAGCUAGAAUCUUGGAGAGGUCAGUGGAAUUCCGAGUGUAGAGGUGAAAUUCGUAGAUAUUCGGAAGAACACCAGUGGCGAAGGCGACUGACUGGACAAGUAUUGACGCUGAGGUGCGAAAGCGUGGGGAGCAAACAGG
rnacentral:rRNA from 1 species